AGCUGGAUAAUAUUAUUUUUAAAACUAAUUCAACUGCACAUGUAAAAUAGUUACAAAAUAGCCAAUCCCCGAUAAAAGUGUAUAAACAAUGUAAUUAGACCUAUUGUGUUUUAUUUUUGUACUAUCAAUUCCAAGUUUACUUUCCACAGCAGUCACCGAGACUCAGAGUGAGAGAAGGUAUUUCACCUCGUACAUUAUCUUAUUAUCUUAUCACCUAUUUUCCUACGUUAUUUCUAGGAGGCACCCCAUUCCUAACUCUUUAAAUAUUUAAUUUCUUUUUGGUCAGUGAUCAUGACUACUUUCCGUACACAUUUAUCGGUUUAAACUGCAUUCGUUUUU
rnacentral:lncRNA from 1 species